CCUGUUGGUUGUGUAGCUAUGAAAGAACACGUGAUUACAGUUUAUCUAACCCCCAUCCUCCCAAAAUGCAAGUAAUUAAUUCUAUUCUGCCUGAUAACGCAACAUUUAGCUUAAUACAGUCAUGAAUCGUCGAUUUAUUUCUGCAUGACAGGUAGAUUAUCAUGCCUAGCCUGCUAGCUAGCAAGAUUAUUUUACCAGCUGGCGUCAAAGCCAGCUAAGGAAGCAAACAAUAUUGGAAUUGUCAUUGGCUAUAUCAAUACAUUGUAACUUUCUGUUCAUGUCAUUCUUACUAAUGGUGUAUGUUAGCUGUUUUACAUUUCCUUUGCAAAGUCUUAAAACUGACUUGCUGGAUGGAUUUUUUAAAUAGAAGUUAACUGGAAAAUUGAUGGACACACUAACUUGCGUCUGACUAGAUGCCUGCAAUAGGCAUUACGUUUCCGGUUAGAUUUAGUUUCAGUUUUAUAUUGAAAAUUCGGAUCCCGUGUACAUCUGCCAUGGGAAAUUCCCUUUGAAAAACUUUGAAAACGCUGCACUGCACGAACAAGAAUGAAGGGAAGCUUGGAAAAAUUGUGAGAAGGCGCUCAUCGAAUUUCGAAGUUCAGCGUCCUCUCAGAAGGAGCUUCCAUCGCUGGCUGAUCUCUGGCAAUAAAGACCCUCAUCGUUCGGAUGGUGAAGUCAGGAAAAACGGCACAGUUUGGGGAGCAGACGGAUCUCGCGGAAGCAGACGCCAGUCACGGCGCGCGCUGAAGUUUGGGAGUUUGGAUUCGGGUGAUGACACUGAUGAACGCCCUAAUUUAUGACUGCGGGACCGCGGGACAGUGUGACUUCUCACUAUUCCUCAGUGGCGAAUGAUCAGUCGACGGCAGAGAUGAGCAUCUGGAAUCUGGAG